CUAAGUGACCAAGGCAAGGUUAUGGCAAGCACGGGUUUGGCUGUUAUGGCUGCCGAAAGGGGAGCUGGUCCCUUCACAGGGAGAAAUCCUGCCUAAAAGGAAUAGGCAAGAGUGAUAGAGGAGGUCAUCUGAUACCGUCUUCUGGCUUCUACAUGUGUGUACAAGUGUGUGCACCCAUAUCCUACAUGUAUGCUUAUGCACAGGGACAUGAGUACCUGAACCAAAAAAACAAUUAAUUAAAAAAAACAUUUUGGGCCUCAGUUUCUUUGCUUGUUUUAACCUGCAUGUCCCAUACAUUAAAGUACAAACUUCUUAAAACAGGAAAAUGUCAAUUUGGGAACCCUCCAAAAUGCACAUGACCUUGUAAGUGCCUCCUACCCUCCAUUUCACAACUCCAAACAGGGCCUGGGAAGGGCCUAGAAUAACUGAGCUGCUGGGGAGGGGUACUGAGGUUUGCCUUCCCUUUUCUGCUGCCCACCUGGCCUGCAGGGAGUGUUUUAGCUACCAGAGGACACGGGACAAGGUGCUUGCCCUUGGAACACCUGGCCAGGUUACUGCCAGCUUUGCCCUAAGAAGGCCUGGAAAAACACCCAUGCCUCAGAGCCUGUGAGUCAUCUGGGUGUAGACACUGUUAUGCUUCAUUCUUGCAACAUAAAGAGCUAAGGGAGUCCAGACAAAAUAGGCUGGAGUUUUAUGACACUCUUUUUUAACCUUCUAAUAUUUUUAUUUCAUGUGAAUGGGUGCUUUGCCUGCAUGUAUAUCUGUGCACCAUGAGCAUGCAGUGCCCAUAGAGGCCAGAAAAGGAUGGCAGAUUGCCUGGGACUGCAGUUACAGACGGUUGCGAGCUGUCACAUGUGUGUUGCCAAUCAAACCCAGGUCCUCUGGAAGAUCAGCCCGUGCUCGUUUAACCACUGAGCUUCUCUCCGGCCCUGUAACACUUUCUAAAGACAACUUUAGAAAGUAUUCACUUCAUGACCUGAAUCGGCUGUUUUAAAGGCUGGGUUCAAAGAAUUUCCUUCAGGCAGUGACCUGAAGAGGGACACCUGGCCCUGAUGUCACAAAAAUGCUGAUCCUGAGGAGAAAUGGUUUCUGGAAGAUCAGCUGGGAGAGUCCUGAGCCUAACACCCCAGGACAGUGGCCACACCCAGUACCAGAGUGCACCCCACCUCCCUCCUGGGCUUUACAACCUGGCAUUUAAUUUGGAAGGAGACAUUUGUUUCCGGUGGUAAAGUGGAAGUUUUGAGAAAUAGAUGCCUUCUGUCUUU